AUAAAUAUUUUUAUAAAAUUAAUCUUAUCCAUUAGAUUUUGAUCUAAUGGUUGAAACUUUAUAUAUAAAUGAGUUUUUUUAUAAUUGAGCUCGUCUUCACAUUUUUAUUUUGUUAAAAAUCAAAUAAUAAAAAUAUUUAUUAUAUAUAAUAAUUUAUUUAUUUAUAUAAAUAUAAAAUUAAAUAAAUUAUAUAAAUAUAAAAUACAUGUAUUCAAGCUGUUAUCGAACCGAACACGAGCGAGCUGAUCUCAGCUCGUGUUUGGCUCGUUUACUGAACAAGCGAUUUGAUCUCGAGCUCAUUACGAGCCGAACACGAGCUGACUUGCGAACGGCGAGUUGGAUUGCUACCUAAACCAUACAAACGAUAGGCAAAGUAAAUCUUAAAC
rnacentral:lncRNA from 1 species